GUGACUGCGUACCUUUUGUAUAAUGGGUCAGCGACUUAUAUUCUGUAGCAAGGUUAACCGUAUAGGGGAGCCGGAGGGAAACCGAGUCUUAAUUGGGCGUUAAGUUGCAGGGUAUAGACCCGAAACCCGGUGAUCUAGCCAUGGGCAGGUUGAAGGUUGGGUAACACUAACUGGAGGACCGAACCGACUAAUGUUGAAAAAUUAGCGGAUGACCUGUGGCUGGGGGUGAAAGGCCAAUCAAACCGGGAGAUAGCUGGUUCUCCCCGAAAGCUAUUUAGGUAGCGCCUCGUGAAUUCAUCUCCGGGGGUAGAGCACUGUUUCGGCUAGGGGGCCAUCCCGGCUUACCAACCCGAUGCAAACUGCGAAUACCGGAGAAUGUUAUCACGGGAGACACACGGCGGGUGCUAACGUCCGUCGUGAAGAGGGAAACAACCCAGACCGCCAGCUAAGGUCCCAAAGUCAUGGUUAAGUGGGAAACGAUGUGGGAAGGCCCAGACAGCCAGGAUGUUGGCUUAGAAGCAGCCAUCAUUUAAAGAAAGCGUAAUAGCUCACUGGUCGAGUCGGCCUGCGCGGAAGAUGUAACGGGGCUAAACCAUGCACCGAAGCUGCGGCAGCGACGCUGAUGCGUUGUUGGGUAGGGGAGCGUUCUGUAAGCCUGCGAAGGUGACCUGUGAGGGUUGCUGGAGGUAUCAGAAGUGCGAAUGCUGACAUAAGUAACGAUAAAGCGGGUGAA
rnacentral:rRNA from 1 species